rnacentral:rRNA from 1 species
AUUGAACGCUGGCGGCAGGCCUAACACAUGCAAGUCGAACGGGUGGCGGACGGGUGAGUAAUGUCUGGGAAACUGCCCGAUGGAGGGGGAUAACUACUGGAAACGGUAGCUACUACCGCAUACCAUCGGAUGUGCCCAGAGGGGAUGAGCUAGUAGGUGGGGUAACGGCUCACCUAGGCGACGCUCCCUAGCUGGUCUGAGAGGAUGACCAGCCACACUGGAACUGAGACACGGUCCAGACUCCUACGGGAGGCAGCAGUGGGGAAUAUUGCACAAUGGGCGAAAGCCGGAUGCAGCCAUGCCGCGUGUAUGAAGAAGGCCUUCGGGUUGUAAAGUACUUUCAGCGGGGAGGCGUUACUCGCAGAAUAAGCACCGGCUAACUCCGUGCCAGCAGCCGCGGUAAUAC